CAAAUUUCACUGUAGCCAGUAUAAUUAUAAUAAUUAUCAGGAAAAAAAAAACGAAGGGAUAAGACCGACAGGGAAGGGUGACCCUCACCCCUGCUGGCAGCCGAUGCCGGCGCACCGGAGACAGGGGGGCGGCGGCGGCCAGUCCCGGAGAGGGGAGGAAUGGAGCGGAUGGGACCUCUCAGAGGGGGGGUCUCAUCCUCUAAACAAUUAUUAAG
rnacentral:lncRNA from 1 species